ACUCUGCCAGUUGACUCUGCCUGA
rnacentral:misc_RNA from 1 species